rnacentral:misc_RNA from 1 species
GAUGAAGAACGUAGUGAAAUGCGAUACGUAAUGUGAAUUGCAAAUUCAGUGAAUCAUCGAGUCUUUGAACGCACAUUGCGCCCCCUGGUAUUCCGGGGGGCAUGCCUGUCCGAGCGUCAUUGCUGCCCUCAAGCACGGCUUGUGUGUUGGGCCCCGUCCUCCGAUCCCGGGGGACGGGCCCGAAAGGCAGCGGCGGCACCGCGUCCGGUCCUCGAGCGUAUGGGGCUUUGUCACCCGCUCUGUAGGCCCGGCCGGCGCUUGCCGAUCAACCCAAAUUUUAUCCAGGUUGACCUCGGAUCAGGUAGGGAUACCCGCUGAACUUAAGCAUAUCAAUAAGCGGAGGA